rnacentral:rRNA from 1 species
UACAGAGGUCUCAAGCGUUGUUCGGAUUCAUUGGGUUUAAAGGGUCCGUAGGCGGUUUGGUAAGUCAGUGGUGAAAGCCCAUCGCUCAACGGUGGAACGGCCAUUGAUACUGCCAGACUUGAAUUAUUAGGAAGUAACUAGAAUAUGUAGUGUAGCGGUGAAAUGCUUAGAGAUUACAUGGAAUACCAAUUGCGAAGGCAGGUUACUACUAAUGGAUUGACGCUGAUGGACGAAAGCGUGGGUAGCGAACAGG